UUCUUCUAGAAUUAAAAAUUAGAAGUACGCCCUGCCCAAUGAUAAUAUUAAAUGGCCGCGGUAUCCUAACCGUGCAAAGGUAGCAUAAUCACUUGCCCGUUAAUUACGGGCUAGAAUGAACGGGUAAACGAAAUAGAAGCUGUCUCAAUUAAAUAACUAAAAAUUAUCCUUUAGAUGAAGAGAUCUAAAUAUAGUUGAAGGACAAGAAGACCCUAUAGAGCUUUACUAUUAAAUAUAAUAAAAUAUACAUAAAUAGUUCGGUUGGGGCGACCAAGGAAUAAAAAUCAUCCUUAAAAAUAAAGAUACACAUAUCAAUAAAUAUGACCCAAAUAUGAUCACAGAAUCAAGCUACCUUAGGGAUAACAGGCUAAUCCUCCUACAGAGGCCUUAUCAACAGGAGGGAUUGGCACCUCGAUGUUGGCUUAGGAAAUCUUUAUGAUGCAGAAGUCAUAAAAAGAAGGUUUGUUCAACCUAUAAUAUCCU
rnacentral:rRNA from 2 species